rnacentral:rRNA from 1 species
UACGUAGGAGGCAAGCGUUGUCCGGAUUUACUGGGCGUAAAGGGCGCGUAGGCGGUCAGUGCAAGUCAGUUGUGAAAUCUCCGGGCUUAACUCGGAAAGGUCAACUGAUACUGCUCGACUAGAGUGCGGAAGGGGCAACUGGAAUUCUUGGUGUAGCGGUGAAAUGCGUAGAUAUCAAGAGGAACACCUGCGGCGAAGGCGGGUUGCUGGGCCGACACUGACGCUGAAGCGCGAAAGCUAGGGGAGCGAACGGG